UCAUGAAGAUAGUUAUGGUGAUGUGAUGAUGACGAUGAUAAUGAUGACGACGGCCAUGAUAAUAAUGAUAUAACAAUUAUGUAUUGACGAAAUGAUCACUGGUAUUUCUAUUGGAUAGUACAGUACUUCGAUCGAUAUUUUUUAUUGAGAAGGAUUGUCAUCGAUGGGACAACUGUUAAAUAUAAAUAUACUUCAUGAAGUCGUCGUAUAUUUAAUAUACUCUUAGACCAGCGUUAGUCACGGUUUAAGUGUUCUUGAUAGUUGUUAAAAUUCGAUUCUAGUGUUUAAUGUCCCUUUAGCCGUACAGUUAACGUAUUUAUUAUUGGUUGGGGCUUCGUUUUAGUCUAGGCCUACUUCAGCAGGGAACACAACACAAAGCACACACUUCAAACCUAUUUACUUGCUGCGUCGGAUUUUUUUAAGUACCGGUCGAUGGCGGGUACGUGUGGUUACCACUAAUUGAGUGCUUUCUUCAUACCUACCAAAAACUCAAAAAGGGUAACACUGUGUCUUCAACCAACGAUUGAUUCAUUAUUUUCCCCACAUGAUGCCGAGUAGGUUAGGAUUAGGAUAGAAGAAGAGAAAGUCUACCUGUACUGGAUUUUUCUUACAAGUUCCGAAGUUUUCAGUAAGUUCAAACAGAUUAAUUAUGGUGGUUCCCGUGUUUUGAUCCCGCCUACAUCUCCGCCGCCUUGAUCCGUGCAUAGUAAGAUCUUGAUGAGUAUUGGUCAAUGGUGCGAGAAAAUUACCCAUAACGUCCGUUCUUCAUCUGCUUCACUAUUAUACCUGACGUCCUACUGAUUCAAUAUUGAACGAUCGCGAUGAAUAAACAAGGAGCGGAUCCAGGAACAUAAGGAAUCAUUUUUCAGAUGGAGUAGCCGGACUACAACAUCAACCAAUCUUGGUUAGAACUGAGCAACGAAAUGUUUGCAAGGACGUUGUACGGUAUCCAAAGCAUUGAUGAUGAAGAUUUAAAAAGGAAGCUCUAUACCGCAGUCAUGGUGAUGAUGUAAAAUAUGUAAAUGGCACAGUAAUAAUGUAGACAACAUGAUGUGUUACCGUAAAUAGUGAAAUAUCCGUAUUUUUAAAGGCGAAAAUUAUAUCUAUUGAUUCCAUUAGUGUAUUAUCUAAUUAUAAUAAAUUAAAAGGCAAAAUUACUGGAAAACAACAACGGUGCACCGGGAAACUAUGGCUGGAUCUCGGUAGAGAUAUAAACUUAUUAAGAAAAAUCUAAAUAAAACAAGAGCUUUCGGACAACACUAGUCAUUUCUCAGUGACGUUUUGAUGUGCAAUAAGUAGAUUAUUCUUGAGGUCGGGGUUCAUUUCACUUGUGUCCCAGAGUAAGGGCACCAUAUAUACGUUGCUACCCAACUCUUAUUAAUGGGUACCAGCAAAUUGCUGGGAGUCACCAGUGGUUGACCAGCGUCUCACCCAGAGGGAGUGUCCGCUUCCUGCUAUAGAAGCUGGAAAAAAGAUCCAGCCCUAUGAGCCCUAGUGGUUUGGAAAGGAUUUACUACUUUUACUAACUGUUAUUAAUAAACUCGAUGAAUAAAUUCUAAUUCCAUAUAAUGCAAUAUCUAAAUUGCAAAAUUUGUAUAUUUAAGUAAGCAUUAUAUUUCAAUUAAAAAUAAAACAAACAAAAUAUUUAAUUAAUUGUUCUUUGAUUACCGUAAUAAAAAAUAAAUAAAUUGAAGUUAGUACAGUAAACCAGUAAAAACUGAAUAAUCAAUUUAGACUACAAAAUUUCAUAUUCAAAAAUAUGUGACAUGCUCAAAUAUGGUUAUGAUGACAUCACAUCAUGACCAUAUAUAGGCACAUCAUGACUGUAUAUAGGCACAUCAUGACCAUAUAUAGGCACAUCAUGACCAUAUAUAGGCACAGCAUUACUAUAUCG